GACGAACGCUGGCGGCGUGCUUAACACAUGCAAGUCGAGCGGAGCGGCGAACGGGUGAGUAACGCGGGAGUAACUGCCCCCCUCUCUGGGAUAACAGUUGGAAACGGCUGCUAAUACCGGAUAGUGGGGGAUGACUCGCGUCCUAUAAGCUUGUGGGGGGGGUAGUGGCCUACCAAGGCGACGACGGGUAGCCGGCCUGGGAGGGCGACCGGCCACAGUGGGCUGAGAUACGGACCAAACUCGUACGGGAGGCAGUAGUGGGGAAUAUGGCACAAGGGGGGAAACCCAGAUGCAGAAGCGCCGCGUGCGGGAUGACGGCCUUUGGGUGGUAAACCGCUUUCAGCCAUGACGCGGUAGUGGCAGAAGAAGCACCGGCUAACUACGUGCCAGCAGCCGCGGUAAUAC
rnacentral:rRNA from 1 species